rnacentral:lncRNA from 1 species
UGAAGGCACAGUUGCAGGAUCUUCUGGACAAGGUUUUGUGCGACCGAGUGUGUCACCUUGGGGAGCACCGGUCUUAUUUGUUAAGAAGAAGGAUGGAUCACUUCGCUUGUGCGUCGACUAUCGUGAACUUAAUAAAGUCACGAUCAAGAACAAGUAUCCAUUACCGAGGAUUGAUGAUCUAUUUGAUCAGCUCCAGGGAUCUUGUGUAUACUCCAAGAUCGACUUGCAGUCGGGAUACCAUCAGUUGAGGAUCAGACCUGAGGAUGUAUCGAAGACGGCUUUUAGAACACGGUAUGGAUAUUAUGAGUUUACCGUUAUGCCGUUUGGGCUUACUAAUGCCCCAGCAGCUUUUAUGGAUUUAAUGAACCGUGUUUUCAAGCCUUAUUUAGAUAGAUUUGUCGUGGUGUUCAUCGACGACAUUUUGGUCUAUUCCCGAAGUGAUGUGGAUCACGAGGAACACUUGAGACUUGUACUUCAAGUACUUCGGGAAAAGAAACUCUAUGCCAAGUUGAAAAAGUGUGAGUUUUGGCUUAGAGAGGUGGCGUUUUUUGGCCAUGUGAUUUCAGGAUCAGGCAUAGCCGUGGACCCGAAAAAAAUUGAAGCUAUCAAAGAUUGGCCGAGGCCGACGAGUGUGACCGAGAUACGGAGCUUCAUUGGUUUGGCCGGCUAUUACCGACGGUUCGUCGAGGGAUUUGCAAAGUUAUCUACUCCCCUCACAAGACUCACGCAUAAGGGCACCAAGUUUAUUUGGAAUGACGCGUGUGAAAGGAGCUUCCAAGAGUUGAAGCAGAGAUUGACGACCGCCCUGAUCCUAACCUUGCCGACUGCUGGAGCAGGGUAUGUGAUUUAUAGUGAUGCUUCCUUUAAUGGAUUGGGCUGUGACUUAAUGCAGGACGGGAAAGUGAUCGUGUAGCACACUGGACCUUUGCAAAUUGCGAGGUUCGAGUGUUCGAUUUGUAUUCCGAACUUUUCCACACUUGGUAGAGGGCCGUCGAUGGUAUACCGGUCUAAAAGUUCGAUAUCGAGAGUUUUGGCUGAGUCAUGAGAGUUUUACUCUCGGAGACCGGUCCCUGAUAGGAGAGACCGGUCCCCCAGUGAACAGUGCUGCGUGGCCGGCGAGGCAACCGGUCCCUGGCAGUCGAGACCGGUCCCCGAGCGCGUCUACGCGGGGAGAGACCGGUCCCUCGCAGGGAGAGACCGGUUCCCGAACGUUGGAUUUUUGGGGGCAGGCUGAGAGACCGGUCCCAGGUCGGGGAGACCGGUCCCUCUGGGCGAAAACUGCCUAGACCGGGCUGAUGUAAAUUUGAGUUUUUGAGGGGCCUAUGUGGAUUUUGUUACUUUAGAGGCUAUAAGCAGCCUCUCCUCCCCUCUCACUCUCAUUUUCUCUCCCUCACACUCUUCCUACACUUCUAGAGAGAGAAAGGGAAGGAGAAGAAGGAGAAGGAGAGGAGAAGAGCUUGCUUGGAGGCCUUGGAGCACCAUCUUCUUCCUCAUUUCCCACCUUUGGAGGCUUGGAGCUUGCGGUUGGAGCUUUGUGGAGGAUCAAACUUCAACCCUACUUGGUUUUGAGCUUGGAUUGGGGCUUCUCUUGAGGUUGGUAGCUUGUAAUCCCCAUUUGUUACAUGCUUUCCUAGGUUUUACUAGAUGAAACCCUAGAUUUUGGGAUUUAGGGUUUAUUUUGGGGGUUUUUGAAUUUGGGGGCUUUGGAACCAAAUUGAUGGGUUUAGAACCUUUGUUUAGGUUAGAUUGGAAGGACUCUAACUCCCAUUUGGAGAUCGUGAGAGCCUUCUUCGCAAUCGGUAAGUUUUCUGCAACCCUAGCUUGAGGAGCUUAAUGAUUGAGUUAUUUGCUCUUCGUUUCGUUUGGGUGACCCUAUUUUUGAUGUUUCUAGGGUACUAGGGAGCUUGUGGAUACCUUCGUUCGGCGAAACAAAGAAGUUGAUUUUGGUGGGUUUGACUUCAUGGAAAUAGGGCAAAAUGGCCCCUAUGCCUUCUAAACUUUUGUAAAAUAGUUUUGAAUGCAAAUUCAUGCUAAAUAUGACUCAUGUGAAUUUUAGAACACUUAAUAUGCAUGCCUCAUAUAUCGUAAAAUUUGUACUCCAUAUAUUAGAGCUAUAUGUGUAGAUUGCAUGCAUUGUGAAUAGUGCGUGGUUUCGCAAGUUGAGAACAUGUCUCCAUGCUAGAAUUGAGUGAACUAUGCAUCAUGAACAUAUUAUUGCCAUGCUUGGGACUCGUGAACAAAAGUGUCAUAAAGGGGCACUUAGGAUUAGUAAACUAUGAAACUGCAACAUAGAGACAUAUUGAUAGGUCACUACUUAUCCGCUACAUUCCAUGUUAGAGACAUGAUGACAUAGGGAUAGGCCAUUGGGAUACUUGACACAUUCCAUGUUAUUAGACAUGAGGACUUGGUACUUGCGAUAGAUCGUUCGACUACUUGCCAUUGUGCUCAUUCGCACAUGCUUGUGAGGGUCGCUCCCUACAAGCCGGCACUCAGGAGAUAGCCAUCGCGAUUCAUAUUCGCCGUGCGGGAUUGGGCGCCGAAGUGGAUUGCCGUGGGCCAGGCUCAUUCCUAGGGUGGGGAUGUUGACUACCACGGGGCCAUUAGGCUCGGCACCGGCCAGACAGCCUACGGGUGGGUCUCAGGGCCAUAGACAGCCUUCGGGUGGGUCUCUUCAGAUUUGACUUGAGUAUUCAUUAUAACAUGUGGACAGAUGAUGACUUAGAGUAUUAUUUGGACAUUGACUAGAAUGGUAAACAACGGAACUUUACUAUUUCGCAUUGUGAACAUUAUGAUAGUUGGAGACUUUUACUUCAUGCAUAGUUGCUUCAUACUUAUGCUAAUUACGCUAAGUAGAGAUAUCAUGUUGUAGUAGGUUACAUCUUUUCUACUUCCCUUUUGUUUUUCUACUUUUAUAGUCACUGACAUCUUUUAUAGCUUUGGGCCUUGUGGUGCAUUCACUGAAGUCAGUAAUUGCCCACUGGGAACUAUUUUUAAUAGUUCUCACGCCCCUGUUUUAUGGUUUCCUUUUCAGAGCCUUCUGCACCGCCGGAGGCACGGGAUCGCGGCAAGGGGAUCGCUUAGCUAGCUAGCGAGGAGCGGUACUCUGCCUAGGUGGUUUACUCUUUUUUUUUGUAGUGAGAGAGAGUGAGAGUUUCUGUAUCCAUGUAUAGAGACCACCUAUGUAUCUACUUUUAGCACUUGCAUUUGGGACUUCCUAUUGUCUUUACUUUAUAUCUUAUUUAGUGGAUUUACCGUUUAUCCUUAUCCUUGGUUGUAGCAUUUAGACAUUUAUUAUGCUCUAAUACUCCUAGAUGUCUUUUAUUAUUGCUUUCAUUAUUGUUGUUUAGACGCCUUAUACGUUUUAGACGUAUGGCGGGUCUGGGCACGUGCCGGGCAGGCUUCCGCUGGGUCCCGGGGCGUGACAGAUCGCGUAUGCGUCUCGCCAAUUGAAGGAUUAUGAACGGAAUUACCCUACUCACGACUUGGACUUAGCGGCCGUGGUCUUUGCAUUGAAGCUAUGGUGCCACUAUUUAUACGGCAAGCGAUGCGAAGUAUAUACGGAUCACAAGAGUUUAAAGUAUUUAUUCACUCAGAAGGAGUUGAACUUGAGGCAGCGCAGAUGGUUGGAGCUACUCAAGGAUUAUGAUUUGACGAUACUUUACCACCCGGGCAAGGCUAAUGUGGUGGCGGAUGCGCUAAGUAGGAAAUCGACUGAGAACUUAGCGAUGCUUGUGGUUACUCAACCGCCGUUGAUCGAGCAGAUAGAGCGGUUGGAGUUCGAGGUGGUGGCUCCUGAUACACCUUUGAGACUGAUGACUUUGGUGGUGAAAUCUACACUUUUGGAAAGGAUUAAAGAAAAGCAAGCUUCCGACUCGGAGUUGCAAAAGAUUCGAGCUAAGAUGGUUGAUGGUUGCACCGGUGACUUCACUUUAGACGGUGAUGGAUUGAUGCGUUUCCGCGGACGACUUUGUGUACCGGCGAACUUGGGCAUUAAAGAGGAUAUUCUUCAAGAAGCACAUCGAGCACUGUAUGCUUUGCAUCCGGGAGGCACCAAGAUGUACAAGGACUUGAAGUUGCUUUAUUGGUGGCCCAGGAUGAAAAAGGAUGUUGGUGAGUUCGUUGCUAGAUGUUUAACUUUCCAACAGGUGAAGGCUGAGCACCGAGUUCCUGCGGGGAAGCUGCAGAGCCUACCGAUUCCAGUGUGGAAGUGGGAAAAGAUCACCAUGGACUUCGUGAUGGGAUUGCCUCGCUCACAGGCCAGGCAUGACGCUAUUUGGGUGAUCGUGGAUAGACUAACAAAAUCGGCACAUUUCAUACCUAUCCACACUACUUGGACUGGUGAGAGACUUGCACAGGUUUAUUUGGAUGAGAUUGUGCGAUUGCACGGGGUACCUACUUCUAUAGUAUCGGAUCGAGAUCCUUGUUUUGUAUCCCACUUUUGGCGGAGCUUACAGGACGCUUUGGGUACGCGCUUGGAUUUCAGCACUGCUUUCCACCCCCAGAGUGACGGUCAGUCAGAGCGUACUAUUCAGACUCUCGAGAACAUGCUUCGAGCUUGUGUGAUUGACUUCCAGGGAGGAUGGUCGCAGCAUCUACUGAUGGCAGAGUUUGCUUAUAACAAUAGUUAUCAAGCAAGCAUCAAGAUGGCACCGUUCGAGGCACUCUAUGGACGGAAGUGUAGAUCGCCACUUUAUUGGAGUGAAGUUGGUGAGAGAUUGGCUUUAGGCCCUGAUGUGCUCCAUGAAGCAGAGGACAAGGUUCGCAUUGCUCGGGAGCGAUUGUUGACGGCCCAGAGUAAGCAGAGGAGUUAUGCUGACAGGCGGCGACGAGACUUAGAGUUUCAGAUUGGAGAUCACGUCUUCUUGAAAGUCUCGCCGACUCGAGGAAUUAGAAGAUUUGGAAUCCGGGGCAAGUUGAGCCCCUGAUUCAUUGGACCGUUUGAGGUUUUGGAGCGUGUAGACCCGGUAGCGUAUACUUGCUCUACCGCCGAACCUAUCGGGUGUACACAACGUAUUCCAUGUAUCGGUCCUUCGGAAGUACAUCCACGACCCGGCUCACAUGUUGGACGCCACUCCUUUGGAGCUCAGGGAUGACUUGAGCUUUGAGGAGCAACCUUUGAGGAUUUUGGCUCGCGAGGUAAAACGAUUGCGGAACCGUGAGAUUCCCUACGUGAAGGUGCUUUGGAGCAACCACGACGAGCGCGAGGCCACUUGGGAGUUGGAGAGCGCAUUGCAGGAGCGCUAUCCCCAUCUUUUUCGGAUGGAUGCUUGAGGUACUUCACUUCUUGAGUUUCGCGGACGAAACUCCUUUUUAGGAGGGGUGAAUGUAACACACUGGACCUUUGCAAAUGGCGAGGUUCGAGUGCUUGGAUGUAUUUCGAGCCUUUCCACACUUGGUGGAGGGUUGUAGGAUAUUUUUCGACCUAAAAAGUUCGAAAACCUGAGUUUUGGUUUAGUCCUGAGAGUUUUUACUCUCGGGGACCGGUCCCUGAAGGGAGAGACCGGUCCCCCAGUGAGCAGUGUUGCGGCAGCCUUGAGGCAACCGGUCCCUGGCAUGCGAGACCGCUCCCCGAGCGUGCCUUCGCAGAGAGAGACCGGUCCCGCGCAGGGAGAGACCGGUUCCCUAACAUUGGUUUUCCGGGUUCACAGCGAGAGACCGGUCCCUGCUGGGGAGAGACCGGUCCCUCUGGGCGAAAACUGCCCAGAUCGAG